ACGCGCGGAACCUUACCAGGUCUUGACAUCCUCUGACACUCCUAGAGAUAGGACGUUCCCCUUCGGGGGACAGAGUGACAGGUGGUGCAUGGUUGUCGUCAGCUCGUGUCGUGAGAUGUUGGGUUAAGUCCCGCAACGAGCGCAACCCUUGUUCUUAGUUGCCAUCAUUUAGUUGGGCACUCUAAGGAGACUGCCGGUGACAAACCGGAGGAAGGUGGGGAUGACGUCAAAUCAUCAUGCCCCUUAUGACCUGGGCUACACACGUGCUACAAUGGACGGUACAAACGGUUGCCAACCCGCGAGGGGGAGCUAAUCCGAUAAAACCGUUCUCAGUUCGGAUUGUAGGCUGCAACUCGCCUACAUGAAGCCGGAAUCGCUAGUAAUCGCGGAUCAGCAUGCCGCGGUGAAUACGUUCCCGGGCCUUGCACUCACCGCCCGU
rnacentral:rRNA from 1 species